UACGUAGGGGCGAGCGUUGUCCGGAUUUAUUGGGCGUAAAGGGUGCGUAGGUGGCAAAGUAAGUUGGAUGUGAAAUCCUGGGGCUUAACCUCAGAAUUGCAUUCAAUACUGCUUAGCUAGAGAGCUGUAGAGGAGACUGGAAUUUACGGUGUAGCAGUGAAAUGCGUAGAUAUCGUAAGGAACGCCAGUGGCGAAAGCGAGUCUCUGGGCAGCAUCUGACUGAGGCACGAAGGCCAGGGAGCAAACGGG
rnacentral:rRNA from 1 species